rnacentral:rRNA from 1 species
UACGGAGGAUCCGAGCGUUAUCCGGAUUUAUUGGGUUUAAAGGGUGCGCAGGCGGGAGAUUAAGUCGGCGGUGAAAUUUUGCAGCUCAACUGUAAAAGUGCCUUCGAAACUGGUUUCCUUGAGUGUAGAUGAAGUAGGCGGAAUUUGUGGUGUAGCGGUGAAAUGCAUAGAUAUCACGAGGAACUCCGAUUGCGCAGGCAGCUUACUAAGCUACAACUGACACUGAAGCACGAAAGCGUGGGGAUCAAACAGGAUUAGAUACCCU